rnacentral:sRNA from 1 species
CUGUCCAAGGAGAUGAAGUAACACUGUAUACACCUGAAGAGCGUGAUCCUGUACCAUUAAGUAUCCACCACAUGCCCAUUUGUGUCAGUUUUGCCUUUUUCCAGCAAGGAACAUAUUUAUUGGUGGAUCCCAAUGAACGAGAAGAACGUGUGAUGGAUGGCUUGCUGGUGAUUGCCAUGAACAAACAUCGAGAGAUUUGUACUAUCCAGUCCAGUGGUGGGAUAAUGCUACUAAAAGAUCAAGUUCUGAGAUGCAGUAAAAUCGCUGGUGUGAAAGUAGCAGAAAUUACAGAGCUAAUAUUGAAAGCUUUGGAGAAUGACCAAAAAGUAAGGAACUUGGGGCACACUUGAAUCAAUCUUACAAGAAGAAAACUUUCAUUCUCAUCUUCAACAGUUCAUCAAAUAGCAGUAUUUUUGUUACUCAGUUUUCUUAACUUGUUAAGUGUUUCUACACCUGUGCUAUGGACUCCUGGAACUGCCCAAAUUGGAGAGGGAGUAGAAAACUCCUGGGGUGAUCUUGAAGACUCUGAGAAGGAAGAUGAUGAAGGCGGUGGUGAUCAAGCUAUCAUUCUUGAUAGUAUAAAAAUGGACACUGGAGUAGAAGUCUCUGAUAUUGGAAGCCAAGGUAGGUGACACUUUAUGGCACACUUAUUACUAUAUAUUACAUAUAUAUAGUAUUACCGUAUAGUUAUAUAUAUAAUAAUGCAUAAAAUGUGUGUAUAUUUAUAUUAUCACUAUGUAUAGUAAUAUAUAGCAUAUUAGCUAUAUAGAGAUGUAUACUGGAUAAAUAACAUACAGGAUACUAUAUAGAGAGAAUAUAGAUAUGUAGUUAUAUGUAGGGAUGUAAGUAUUGCAUUUUUAGAGGGGCUAAAUAUUGUGAUUUAAAUUUCAACUAAAUUAUUGUGGCUAGCUGCAAUACUAAUGCUACUUUCUAAAAGAAUAUGCAUAUCUUUGUAGAGUAGUGGAACACUUUGGCAUAAAAUGAUAGUGAUAUUUUUAAUUAAAAAAAUUUUUUGUGUGUGUAUGUAUGUGGGUGGGUUUUAAGGGAAUGAGUUUCUUGAAGAUCUUAUUCCUCCGUGCUGUCUUUUUUUUUGUAGUUUCUAGACUGAAACAAAAAGCCCAUCCCAUAUCAUAACAUAUAAUACUGUCUAAAUAAAACUUUCUAUGAUGAUAGAAACAUUAAGUAUUUACACUGGUAUAGCAGCCACUAGCCC